AAACUAUGACAGCACGGGAAAAUGGAUUCCGUGUUUGCCAUGUCCAGAGAACUUUACCACCUUGGGAGAACGAUCUAUCAGUCCACUGAACUGCACAGAAAUUGUGUGCCAGAUUGGAACUUACUACACUUUGAACAAUUCUAACACCCAGUGUUCAGUUUGUCCAGUUGGUAAAUACAACGAUAUGAGGGACCAACCCCAGUGUACACAAUGUCCUCCUGGGAAUACAACCUUAGAUACCGGAAAUUUUUAUAUUGGAUCAUGCAUUGAUGACUGCUCUGAAGGAUAUGGCUUCAGUUCUGUGUCCGGCAAAUGUGUGAUCUGUGCCACUGGAGAGUAUAAUGACAAGGAAGGCUCAAACCAGAACCAUUGCAAGAGAUGUCCCGCUAACUUUAAUUCCACACAACCCGGGUCUACGAAAUGUCUUGUUCCCUCAAAUACUUACCCACUACAAGUUUAUGUUGAUGUCACAAUCAGAGUGAAGUACAGAACUUCCAUUGAAUCCUGCAAUAAACAAACAGAGUUGUUUAAUAUACAGGUUUAUAUUGUUCAAAGAAUGCGAAUUGUGUUUGCCUCCAAAAAUGGAAAAAGGUUCGGCCAGUCUAAAGGACUCUGCAGAGGCAAUUCAUGUGAUAAUUUGGUGUUUGUAAAUGGGAUAAAGUGUUCGGAAAUAAACAAUGGCCGAAAACGUCGAGCUAUCGAUACUGAACUUGAAGUGGAGUUUAAGUUUGAGAA